rfam:Felis catus isolate Cinnamon breed Abyssinian chromosome D2, whole genome shotgun sequence.
GCCUGGGUGGCUCAGUCGGUUAAGCGUCCGACUUCAGCUCAGGUCACGAUCUCGCGGUCCGUGGGUUCAAACCCCGCGUCGGGCU